UACAGAGGUCCCAAGCGUUGUUCGGAUUCACUGGGCGUAAAGGGUGCGCAGGUGGUCGGGUAAGUCUGACGUGAAAUCCCGCAGCUUAACUGCGGAAUGGCAUUGGAUACUAUUCGGCUAGAGGGUUGGAGGGGGGACUGGAAUUCUCGGUGUAGCAGUGAAAUGCGUAGAUAUCGAGAGGAACACCAGUGGCGAAGGCGAGUCCCUGGACAACUCCUGACGCUCAUGCACGAAAGCGUGGGGAGCAAACAGG
rnacentral:rRNA from 1 species